GCCCGCCUAGCUCAAUCGGAUAGAGCGUCAGACUCUUACUAGGCGUCGGUAUCUGAAGGCUGCGAGUUCGACCCUCGCGGUGGGCU
rnacentral:tRNA from 1 species